GACGAACGCUGGCGGCGUGCUUAACACAUGCAAGCCGAACGGAAAGGCCCUGCUUUUGUGGGGUGCUCGAGUGGCGAACGGGCGGGUAACACGUGAGCAACCUGCGCUAGACUUUGGGAUAAGUUCAGGAAACUGGGUCUAAUACCGUGUAUGACUCUGUGCUUCAUGGUGGGGGUUGGAUAGUUUCGGCGGUUGGGUAAUGACUCGCGUCUUGUCAGCUUGUUGGUUCGGUAGUGGCUUACCAAGGCUGUGACGGGUAGCCGGCCUGAGAGGUUGACCGGCCACAUUGGUACUGGGAUACGGCCCAGCCUCCUACGGAACGCAGCAGUGCAGAAUAUUGCACUCUGCGCGGAAGCAUGACCCAGCCCCGCCGCGUGCCGGAUGACGGCCUUCGCGUUGUAGACCGCUUUCGCCUGUGACGAAGCGUCAGUGACCGCAAUGGGUAAAGAAGCACCGGCUAACUACGUG
rnacentral:rRNA from 1 species